rnacentral:rRNA from 1 species
CUUGCAUACGAAAAGCAUGGAAUGAUGGAAAAUGGCCUCGUCCGCGCGUCAUCCGUCGGUCUCCGUUCACGACGAGGCAAUGAUCGAAGGGAGCGAUCGGGGCCACUCGUAUUGCGACGUUAGAGGUGAAAUUCUUGGAUCGUCGCAAGACGCACUGCAGCGACGGCGUGUGGCAAGCACGUUUUCCUC